GACGAACGCUGGCGGCGUGCUUAACACAUGCAAGUCGAACGGAAAGGCCCUGCUUUUGUGGGGUGCUCGAGUGGCGAACGGGUGAGUAACACGUGAGUAACCUGCCCUUGACUUUGGGAUAACUUCAGGAAACUGGGGCUAAUACCGGAUAGGAGCUCCUGCUGCAUGGUGGGGGUUGGAAAGUUUCGGCGGUUGGGGAUGGACUCGCGGCUUAUCAGCUGGUUUGUGGGGUAGUGGAUUACCAAGGCUUUGACGGGUAGCCGGACCGAGAAGGGGCACGGGCAAAUUGGGGCUGAGAGACCGCCCAGACUCAUACGGGAGGCAGCAGUGGGGAAUAUUGCACAAUGGGCGUAAGGCUGAUGCAGCAACGCCGCGGGCGGGAUGACGGCUUUCGGGUUGUAAACCGCUUUCGCCUGUGACGAAGCGUGAGUGACGGUAAUGGGUAAAGAAGCACCGGCUAACUACGUGCCAGCCGCCGCCGUAA
rnacentral:rRNA from 1 species